GUGGAUUAGAUACCCUGGUAGUCCACGCCCUAAACGAUGAUAACUCGAUGUUAGCGAUAUACAGUUAGCGUCUUAGCGAAAGCGUUAAGUUAUCCACCUGGGGAGUACGCCCGCAAGGGUGAAACUCAAAGGAAUUGACGGGGGCCCGCACAAGCGGAGGAGCAUGUGGUUUAAUUCGAUGAUACGCGAGGAACCUUACCCGGGCUUGAAAGUUACUGAAUGAUCUAGAGAUAGAUCAGUCCUUCGGGACAGGAAACUAGGUGCUGCACGGUCGUCGACAACU
rnacentral:rRNA from 1 species